AUUAUGUUAAUACCGCCUAGGGAUAGGGGUAGGACGAUCAAUUGUAUUUUGCUUCCGUUUAUCAUGCAUUAUUAAUUGCUAGGGGAGGCUAGGGAUAGCAAGCCGAUAAUUAGUAAUAGGCUCUUUUCACCAAGGGAUUGGGUUAAGGGUAGACCAAGAAAGUUUGCAUGACAAUAUGAUAAAUAAGCUAAUUAAAUAAGAAGAGUAGAUAUAUGAGGGUGGAUAAGAUGAAAAUGUAAACCCCAACAACUCCAUUCAUCCAUAGUUUCUUAAAGCCAAUUGAAUCAUUGCAUUUGCAUGUUUACUUUUGUUCUUUGCAUACACACUUCAAUUUAAUUCUUUUCUCAAGUCUUACGCGAAAGAAUGACUAGUUCUCUCUCUUCAAGCCAAAGACGUCCCUCUGCCAUCUUAACCAAACGUUGCAGCCCCUUCAUCAUACCAAUUGAACAUGUGAAUCUCCAAGCAAGGAAUGAAAUUUCUUCUCUCAAUUGCUACCACCGUACAAGCAUCACCGAACCUAUCUAAUCAACUCUUCACUCUUCAAAUAAAUAAAAGAAAAGAAAACUAUCUACUCCUACAACUACCAACAUCGUCCCAUCACCAGAAACUAAUCUACUAUUUUUUUAUACCAUGAAAGCAAAGAAAUGCUUAACCCUUCCAGCAGCC
rnacentral:lncRNA from 1 species